rnacentral:tRNA from 1 species
GCUCAGAUGGUGGAAUUGGUAGACACGCUACUUUGAGGGGGUAGUGCCGUAAUAGGCGUGCAAGUUCGAAGCUUGUUCUGAGCA